UUUGAUCCUGGCUCACGCGAUGAACGCUAGCGGUGUGCUCUAAUGCAUGCNACGUCGAACGGGAGGUCGACCCUCUUCGGAUGGGAUGCGAGAUGUGGCGACAGCGGGUGAUGCUAACACGUAGGUUACCUACCACCAGAGAGGGGGAUAACCACCUGGAAACGGUGGCUAAUACACCCCGCGAUGUUGCGCGGGUUUAGAAACGCGGCGACUAAAUGACGCGAGGUGCUCUGUGCGAGAGGAGCCAUGCUGGCCCAUCAGCUAGCUUGCGUACGGUAACGAGCCUACCANCGGCAGAUAACGGGUAGGGGGCGUGAGAGCUGUGUACCCCCCACACUGGUNCUGAGACACGGACNCANAUACCUGCGGGUAGCAGCAGCAAGGAAUAUUGCCCAAUGUACGGAAGUCUGAGAGCAGCAAUCACCUGCGUGGAGGAAGGACGGCCUUCGGGUUGUANACUCCUUUUCUGGGGGANAGAGAAAGCGACGGUACCCCAAGGAACUAAGUCUCGGCUAACUACNUNCCAUCAGCCGCGGCUAAAACGUAGAGCAAGCGUUAUCCGGAUUUACUGGGCGUCAAGUCCAAUGCAGGCAUUUAGUCGGACGUGAAAACUCCUGGCUCAACUACGAAGGCCGUUCGAAACUUGAUAGCUAGAGGAUGGUAGAGGAGAGUGGAAUUCCCCGGUGUCUUGCUNAAAAUGGUAAUUUCGGGAGGAACACCAGUGGCGAAGGCGGCUCUCUGGGCCACUCCUGACGGCUCUAGAUGCGAAAGCUCAGGGGAGAGAAACGGGAUUUAGAAACCCCGUUAUUCCUACCGUAAACGAUNUCAACUAGGCGUAGGCGGUAUUGACCCCGUCUGUGCUGCAGCCAACGCGAUAAGUUGACCGCCUGGGGAGUACGGCCGCAAGGCUAAACUCAAAGGAAUUGACGGGGACCCGCACAAGCAGCGGAGCGUGUGGUUUAAUUCGAGGCUACGCGAAGAACCUUUACCAGGGUUGACAUGCUGGUGGUAGCCUGGUGGAAACACGGGUGACCCUUCGGGGAGCCAGCACAGGUGCUGCAUGGCUGUCGUCAGCUCGUGCCGUGAGGUGUUAGGUUAAGUCCUGUACGAGCGCAACCCUCGUCGUUAGUUACAAGUGUCUAACGAGACUGCCGGUGAUAAGCCGGAGGAAGGUGGGGAUGACGUCAAGUCAGCAUGGCCUUUAUAUCCUGGGCGACACACACGCUACAAUGGCCGGUACAGUGGGUAGCCAAGCCGCGAGGCGGAGCCAAUCCUAAAAAGCCGGUCUCAGUUCGGAUUGCAGGCUGCAACUCGCCUGCAUGAAGUCGGAGUUGCUAGUAACCGCGCGUCAGCCACAGUGCGGUGAAUACGUUCCCGGGUCUUGUACACACCGCCCGUCACGUCAUGGAAGUUGGCAACGCCUGAAGUCGGUGGGCUACCCUCACGGGAGGCAGCCGCCUAAGGCGGGGUCGGUAACUGGGACGAAGUCGUACAAGGUAGCUGUAGCGGAAGCUGCGGCUGGAUCACCUCCUU
rnacentral:rRNA from 1 species